GACGAACGCUGGCGGCGUGCUUAACACAUGCAAGUCGAACGGAAAGGCCCCUUUGGGGGUACUCGAGUGGCGAACGGGUGAGUAACACGUGAGUAACCUGCCCUUGACUUCGGGAUAACUUCAGGAAAAUGGGGCAAAUACCGGAUAGGAAUCCUUGCUGCAUGGUGGGGGUUGGAAAGCUUCGGCGGUUUUGGAUGGAGUCGCGGCUUAACAGCUUGUUGGUGGGGUAGUGGCUUACCAAGGCUUUGACGGGUAGCCGGCCUGAGAGGGCGACCGGCCACAGUGGGACUGAGAGUCGGCCCAGACUCCGACGGGUGGCAGAAGUGGGGAAGAGUGCUCUAGGGGCGGGAGCCUGAUGCAGCAACGCCGCGGGCGGGAGAACGGUCUUCGGGUUGGGAUCCGAAAUCAGCAGGAGCGGGGCUUGUAGUGACGGUACCUGCAGAAGAAGCACCGGCUAACUACGUG
rnacentral:rRNA from 1 species